AACGAACGCUGGCGGCGUGCUUAACACAUGCAAGUCGAACGCGAACGGGACUUCGGUCCUUAGUAGAGUGGCGCACGGGUGAGUAACGCGUAGAUAACCUAUCUUCCUGUCUGGAAUAAUACGCCGAAAGGAGUACUAAUACCGGAUACUCUUGCUUUUCAUAAGUAUAGCAAGCAAAGGUGGCCUCUGUAUAUGCUACUGCAGGGAGAGGGGUCUGCGUACCAUUAGCUAGUAGGUGGGUAAGGGCCUACCUAGGCUACGAUGGUUAGCGGGUCUGAGAGGAUGAUCCGCCACACUGGCACUGGAACACGGGCCAGACUCCUACGGGAGGCAGCAGUGAGGAAUAUUGCGCAAUGGGGGCAACCCUGACGCAGCGACGCCGCGUGAGUGAAGGAAGGCCUUCGGGUCGUAAAGCUCUGUCAAGAGGAAAGAAGUGCAUAGCGGUUAAUACCCGUUAUGUUUGACGGUACCUCUAAAGGAAGCACCGGCUAACUCCGUGCCAGCAGCAGC
rnacentral:rRNA from 1 species